AUUGAACGCUGGCGGCAGGCCUAACACAUGCAAGCCGAGCGGAUGAAGGGAGCUUGCUCCCUGAUUCAGCGGCGGACGGGUGAGUAAUGCCUAGGAAUCUGCCUGGUAGUGGGGGACAACGUUUCGAAAGGAACGCUAAUACCGCAUACGUCCUACGGGAGAAAGCAGGGGACCUUCGGGCCUUGCGCUAUCAGAUGAGCCUAGGUCGGAUUAGCUAGUUGGUGAGGUAAUGGCUCACCAAGGCGACGAUCCGUAACUGGUCUGAGAGGAUGAUCAGUCACACUGGAACUGAGACACGGUCCAGACUCCUACGGGAGGCAGCAGUGGGGAAUAUUGGACGAUGGGCGAAAGCCUGAUUCAGCCAUGCCGCGUGUGUGAAGAAGGUCUUCGGAUUGUAAAGCACUUUAAGUUGGGAGGAAGGGUUGCUGAUUAAUACUCUGCAAUUUUGACGUUACCGACAGAAUAAGCACCGGCUAACUCUGUGCCAGCCGCCGCGGUAAUAC
rnacentral:rRNA from 1 species